CUACAAUUGAGGGCUAAUGGGCCAUGGAGGGGGGUCUUUCUAGCGGAGGCUAUCUCAGUGUCCUUUAGAGAGUGUGUUAGAAAGAAUCCCCUCCAAGCCCCAUUAGAGACUACAAUGGAGUCUAAAAGGCUUGGAAGGGGGUCUUUCUAACAGAGGCCAUCUCAGCGUCCAUUAGAUAUCCCCUGCUGGAAACAGUCGCCUCCAGGCCCAAGUAGAAACUACAAUUGAUGGCUAAUGGGCCAUGGAGGGGAUUUCUAGCAGAGGCUAGAGUCUAAUGGGGCCUGGAGGGUGGUCUCUCCA